GACGAACGCUGGCGGCGUGCUUAACACAUGCAAGUCGAACGAAAAGGCCCUGCUUUUGUGGGGUGCUCGAGUGGCGAGCGGGGGAGAAUCACGUGAGUAAAAUGCCCUUUACUUUGGGGUAACUUCAGGAAAAAGGGGCUAAUAUCGGGUAUGAUAUCCUGCUGCAUGGGGGGGGUUGGUAAGUUUCGGUGGUUGGGGAUGGACUUGAGGCUUAUCAGCUUGUUGGGGGGGUAGUGGCUUACAAGGGCUUUGAAGGGUAGCCGGCCUGGGAGGGUGACCGGCCACAAUGGGACUGAGAUACGGCCCAGACUCAUACGUGAGGCAGAAGUGGGGAACAUUGCACAAUGGGCGGAAGCCUGAUGCAGAAACGCCGGGUGCGGGAUGACGGCUUUUGGGUUGUAAACCGAUUUCGCAUGUGACGAAGCGUGAGUGACGGUAAUGGGUAAAGAAGCACCGGCUAACUACGUG
rnacentral:rRNA from 1 species